rnacentral:rRNA from 1 species
AUACGGAGGAUCCGAGCGUUAUCCGGAUUUAUUGGGUUUAAAGGGAGCGUAGGUGGGAUAUUAAGUCAGCUGUGAAAGUUUGGGGCUCAACCUUAACAUUGCAGUUGAUACUGGUUUCCUUGAGUACGGUACAGGUGGGCGGAAUUCGUGGUGUAGCGGUGAAAUGCUUAGAUAUCACGAAGAACUCCGAUCGCGAAGGCAGCUCACCGGGCCGGAACUGACACUGAUGCUCGAAAGUGCGGGUAUCAAACAGGAUUAGAUACCCUGGUAGUCCGCACAGUAAACGAUGAAUACUCGCUGUUUGCGAUACACUGUAAGCGGCCAAGCGAAAGCGUUAAGUAUUCCACCUGGGGAGUACGCCGGCAACGGUGAAACUUAAAGGAAUUGACGGGG